GACGAACGCUGGCGGCGUGCUUAACACAUGCAAGCCGAACGGUAAGGCCCUUCGGGGUACACGAGUGGCGAACGGGUGAGUAACACGUGGGUGAUCUGCCCUGCACUUCGGGAUAAGCCUGGGAGACUGGGUCUAAUACCGGACAGGACCACUGCCUGCAGGGGUGGGGGUGGAAAGCUUUUGCGGUGUGGGAUGGGCCCGCGGCCUAUCAGCUUGUUGGUGGGGUGAUGGCCUACCAAGGCGACGAGGGGUAGCUGGCCUGAGAGGGUGACCGGCCACACUGGGACUGAGAUACUGCCCAGACUCCUACGGGAGGCAGCAGGGGGGAAUAUUGCACAAUGGGCGCAAGCCUGAUGCAGCGACGCCGCGUGAGGGAUGACGGCCUUCGGGUUGUAAACCUCUUUCAGCACCGACGAAGCGCAAGUGACGGUAGGUGCAGAAGAAGGACCGGCCAACUACGUGCCAGCAGCCGCCGUAA
rnacentral:rRNA from 1 species